rnacentral:rRNA from 1 species
CACGUAGGGUGCGAGCGUUGUCCGGAGUUACUGGGCGUAAAGGGCGUGUCGGCGGUGCGUUUUGUCCGUGGUGAAAGCCCCCGGCUCAACCGGGGAGGGUCCGCGGAGACGGGCGCACUGGAGCUCGCGAGAGGUGGGUGGAAUUCCCGGUGUAGUGGUGAAAUGCGUAGAGAUCGGGAGGAACACCGGUGGCGAAGGCGGCUUCCUGGUCUGCAACUGACGCUGUGGCGCGAAAGCUAGGGGAGCAAACGGG